UGGUCUUGACAUAUCUAGAAUCCUGCAGAGAUGCGGGAGUGCCUUCGGGAAUUAGAAUACAGGUGCUGCAUGGCUGUCGUCAGCUCGUGUCGUGAGAUGUUGGGUUAAGUCCCGCAACGAGCGCAACCCUUGUCCUUAGUUACCAGCGGGUUAAGCCGGGAACUCUAAGGAUACUGCCAGUGACAAACUGGAGGAAGGCGGGGACGACGUCAAGUCAUCAUGGCCCUUACGACCAGGGCUACACACGUGCUACAAUGGUAGGUACAGAGGGCAGCUACACAGCGAUGUGAUGCGAAUCUCAAAAAGCCUAUCGUAGUCCAGAUUGGAGUCUGCAACUCGACUCCAUGAAGUAGGAAUCGCUAGUAAUCGCGGAUCAGAAUGCCGCGGUGAAUACGUUCCCGGGCC
rnacentral:rRNA from 1 species